CUUAAGUUUGGCUCUGGCUCCAAAAGUUACUACCUCGCUUUCACCCUGCAUGCAAGCCCCUACACCCCCGCACACACUUGCAAUAAAAUAAAAAAGCUCAACGCCCAACCUAUUUUACCUCUUUCUUAUCAACCUAGAAUAAAGACACCCCAAACUAUGCGCCCGCAGCAAAUAAUAUUGUGCCCGAUACGACAGUAUGCCCCAGAAAACGAACAAAAUAUUGGAGAAGUCUGUGCCAGCAGCCGCGGUUACACAGACCAAUAUGAGUAAAUAACCUUAUUUAUGGGCCUCAGAGUAAAAACGCUUUUACAAGGCGUCCAACCCGCACCAAAUCUACCUUCCCCUAACACCCGCUUCCAUCCCCAUGAAAACUAAGAUAAAAACAAGGAUUAGAUACCCUUUUAUUCUUAGUUGUAAAUUUUGGGCAGUACGAACGUAAGUUUAAAACCCAAAGAGCUUGGCGGUGCUUCACCGCUCUAGGGGAGCCUGUUACUUAAUUCGAUAAUCCGCGAUAAACCCCACCUAACCUAGACAUCCUGCAGCCUGUGUAUUGCCGUCGCAAGCUUACCUCCCAAAAGCCUGUAAGCCAAAAAACCAUUCCCGUUUCCACGUCAGGUAAAAUGCAGCCCAUGGUCAGGAGUUAAUAGGCUACAAUUUCAAAAGUCAUUAGACUGCGACUGAAAUCCCUCACGAAACUGGACUUAGCAGUAACUUUUAUUCACAACAUAAAAGCGAAACCCGCCAUCUGAAGCGUGCACACAUCGCCCGUCACUCUCGCUGAGAAGUGAGAUAAGUCGUAACAUAGUAGGCGACCGGAAGGUGCGCCU
rnacentral:rRNA from 1 species